rnacentral:rRNA from 1 species
AAUCCAUAGGUUAAUGAGGCGAACCGGGGGAACUGAAACAUCUAAGUACCCCGAGGAAAAGAAAUCAACCGAGAUUCCCCCAGUAGCGGCGAGCGAACGGGGAGGAGCCCAGAGCCUGAAUCAGCAUGUGUGUUAGUGGAAGCGUCUGGAAAGGCGCGCGAUACAGGGUGACAGCCCCGUACACAAAAGCGCAUGUGCUGUGAGCUCGAUGAGUAGGGCGGGACACGUGGUAUCCUGUCUGAAUAUGGGGGGACCAUCCUCCAAGGCUAAAUACUCCUGACUGACCGAUAGUGAACCAGUACCGUGAGGGAAAGGCGAAAAGAACCCCGGCGAGGGGAGUGAAAAAGAACCUGAAACCGUGUACGUACAAGCAGUGGGAGCACCCUUUGGGUGUGACUGCGUACCUUUUGUAUAAUGGGUCAGCGACUUAUAUUCUGUAGCAAGGUUAACCGAAUAGGGGAGCCGGAGGGAAACCGAGUCUUAAUUGGGCGUUAAGUUGCAGGGUAUAGACCCGAAACCCGGUGAUCUAGCCAUGGGCAGGUUGAAGGUUGGGUAACACUAACUGGAGGACCGAACCGACUAAUGUUGAAAAAUUAGCGGAUGACCUGUGGCUGGGGGUGAAAGGCCAAUCAAACCGGGAGAUAGCUGGUUCUCCCCGAAAGCUAUUUAGGUAGCGCCUCGUGAAUUCAUCUCCGGGGGUAGAGCACUGUUUCGGCUAGGGGGCCAUCCCGGCUUACCAACCCGAUGCAAACUGCGAAUACCGGAGAAUGUUAUCACGGGAGACACACGGCGGGUGCUAACGUCCGUCGUGAAGAGGGAAACAACCCAGACCGCCAGCUAAGGUCCCAAAGUCAUGGUUAAGUGGGAAACGAUGUGGGAAGGCCCAGACAGCCAGGAUGUUGGCUUAGAAGCAGCCAUCAUUUAAAGAAAGCGUAAUAGCUCACUGGUCGAGUCGGCCUGCGCGGAAGAUGUAACGGGGCUAAACCAUGCACCGAAGCUGCGGCAGCGACACUGUGUGUUGUUGGGUAGGGGAGCGUUCUGUAAGCCUGUGAAGGUGUGUCGUGAGGCAUGCUGGAGGUAUCAGAAGUGCGA